AACGCAAAUUGCACUCUCUGGUAUUCCGGAGAAGUAUGCCUGUUUGAGGGUCAGUUUAAAUAAAAAUCGAGGUGUUGCUUUAUGUGACGCAUCGGAAUUGGGUCAUCUUUAUCCUUUGGAUUUUUAAGAGACUUAAAAUUGAUACCUUGUGCAUCUUAGACGUACAUAAGAAUAUUUUUUUUUAUCCGUCCGGAAUGCCAAUUUUUAUUAGGUAUGACCAUAUGUUAUAUUUUGUGGGAUCGUACCUAUAACAUACUCAUAUUUUGACCUCAAAUCAGGUAAGAGUACCCGCUGAACUUAA
rnacentral:misc_RNA from 1 species